GACGAACGCUGGCGGCGUGCCUAAUACAUGCAAGUUGAGCGCUGAAGGUUGGUACUUGUACCAACUGGAUGAGCCGCGAACGGGUGAGUAACGCGUGGGGAAUCUGCCUUUGAGCGGGGGACAACAUGUGGAAACGAAUGCUAAUACCGCAUAAAAACUUUAAACACAAGUUUUAAGUUUGAAAGAUGCAAUUGCAUCACUCAAAGAUGAUUCCGCGUUGUAUUAGCUAGUUGGUGAGGUAAAGGCUCACCAAGGCGAUGAUACAUAGCAGACCUGAGGGGAUGAUCGGCCAGAUUGAGACUGUGACAGGGCACAAAGGCAUACGGGAGGCAGCAGUAGGGAUACGGCGGGAAGGGGUGAGAGUUUGAGCGAGCAGCGCGGCGGGAGGGAGGAGGGUUGUCGGAUGGUAAAACACGGUUGGUAGAGAAGAACGUGGGUGAGAGUGGAAAGCUCAGCAAGUGACGGUAAUGAGCCAGAAAGGGACGGCUAACUACGUG
rnacentral:rRNA from 1 species